rnacentral:tRNA from 1 species
ACCUCCUUAGUAUAAUUAAUAUGACUGACUUCCAAUUAGUAGAUUCUAAUAAACCUUAGAAGGGGGUA